rnacentral:rRNA from 1 species
UACGUAGGCAGCAAGCGUUGUUCGGAAUUACUGGGCGUAAAGAGUGUGUAGGCGGUGCUCUAAGUCUGUUGUGAAAUCUCCCGGCUUAACUGGGAGGGUGCGGCGGAAACUGGAGUGCUCGAGGGUGGGAGAGGAAAGCGGAAUUCCUGGUGUAGCGGUGAAAUGCGUAGAUAUCAGGAGGAACACCUGCGGUGUAGACAGCUUUCUGGACCACUUCUGACGCUGAGACACGAAAGCGUGGGUAGCAAACAGG